CACUCCAACCCCUGUGACAUACCUAUACGUUGCCUCGGCGGAUCAGCCCGCGCCCUGUAAAAAGGGACGGCCCGCCCGAGGACCCUAAACUCUGUUUUUAGUGGAACUUCUGAGUAAAACAAACAAAUAAAUCAAAACUUUCAACAACGGAUCUCUUGGUUCUGGCAUCGAUGAAGAACGCAGCAAAAUGCGAUAAGUAAUGUGAAUUGCAGAAUUCAGUGAAUCAUCGAAUCUUUGAACGCACAUUGCGCCCGCCAGUAUUCUGGCGGGCAUGCCUGUUCGAGCGUCAUUUCAACCCUCAAGCUCAGCUUGGUGUUGGGACUCGCGGUAACCCGCGUUCCCCAAAUCGAUUGGCGGUCACGUCGAGCUUCCAUAGCGUAGUAAUCAUACACCUCGUUACUGGUAAUCGUCGCGGCCACGCCGUAAAACCCCAACUUCUGAAUGUUGACCUCGGAUCAGGUAGGAAUACCCGCUGAACUUAAGCAUAUCAAUAAGCGGAGGA
rnacentral:rRNA from 1 species